GAUGAACGCUGGCGGCGUGCCUAAUACAUGCAAGUCGAGCGAACGGACGAGAAGCUUGCUUCUCUGAUGUUAGCGGCGGACGGGUGAGUAACACGUGGAUAACCUACCUAUAAGACUGGGAUAACUUCGGGAAACCGUAGCUAAUACCGGAUAAUAUUUUGAACCGCAUGGUUCAAAAGUGAAAGACGGUCUUGCUGUCACUUAUAGAUGGAUCCGCGCUGCAUUAGCUAGUUGGUAAGGUAACGGCUUACCAAGGCAACGAUGCAUAGCCGACCUGAGAGGGUGAUCGGCCACACUGGAACUGAGACACGGUCCAGACUCCUACGGGAGGCAGCAGUAGGGAAUCUUCCGCAAAGGGCGAAAGCCUGACGGAGCAACGCCGCGUGAGUGAUGAAGGUCUUCGGAUCGUAAGACUCUGUUAUUAGGGAAGAACAUAUGUGUAAGUAACUGUGCACAUCUUGACGGUACCUAAUCAGAAAGCCACGGCUAACUACGUG
rnacentral:rRNA from 1 species